ACCCGAAUGAUCCUCAGUUGUCUGGGGCACAGGCUUCAAACCUGUAGAUGUCUGGCAACAGAGUGGUUCAAUUCCACCUUCCAGGUG
rnacentral:tRNA from 1 species